AUUUUAAAUCUAUUAGCAUAAGCUAAAGCAGAGUCAAAAUCCCUUUCUGAGUCAAAAUACAUGCUGAGAUCUACCGCUCAGAUUUUUUAUUAACAUUACUUAAAAAAUGUAAGCCUAUGCAACAUUAACCAAUUAAAAACAGUAUUGUAGCAAUGAGGUUUGAGCAGUAAGCUAUAGGCCAUUAUCACCACACACUGGCUUUGCUUUAAUUUACCUGCCAAUGCAUUGUUGUUUCGGGACAUUUAAAAAAAUAUAUAUUUCAAAAUUUGAGGUAGGCUAUAUAAUCACACCGGUAAUAGAUCCAUUGUGGUAUUACUUGUGAGGCACAGCUUAGUGAGCAUACAUUUAAAUAAUUUGCUUUUUAUUUUACUGGGCUGAUGGUACCUGCAUCUGAUGGUCAGUCUCAGGAGGGAGAGCGCAGCAGACUGAGGGUCCGUCUCUCAACAUCCAUCCGCUCUCCCUUUCCUCCACUGACACUGACCAAAAAGGGACACUGUCUUCCAGCUGAUGUCGAAACUCGAAUCGUACCGCAUUAUUCUGUUACUCCUAUGAACAGAGAAAGUGAAAUAUUCCUUGAUAUUAAAAAAGACCCAAGCCGCUAAUAAUAACAACAACGCCUAUAGAUACACUUUUCUACUCAUUACUGCUGCACUUCUUGUUGUAGCGCUGAGUGGAAAUAGGAAGAACGCGCAUUUUAUGGCUUAUAAAAGUGUUGAAUACAAAGUGUUGACAGUGCUGAGUAAGAACUUGAACAGCAGCUCUUUGUUGUAUUCGUUGAGUCUCUCUCUAGUCAUGGUUUUAAAAGUUUUGAAAUCUCAGUGUCAAUUUUGUCGUGGCUUUCUUCUACGCCUGCUACGUUACUGCAGACUCCGCCAUUUGAGCAAUCUGAUUGGCCAGCGGUAGCCUAGUGCACUUCAUUUCCUCUCCAGGCCUACCGGGAAGGCAGAGUUUGUACCUUCAGACACAUGAAAUGGCAGCAGUUUGUCUACCCGGCGCGCAGGGCAGCUGAAUUGGUUGCACCUACCAACAACAGCCCGAGACGAAUACAAAAAAAUAGGAACACAAGGCUUUAUCGUUGGGUUUUUUACAGAAAUGUUUGGCGAUCGACUAGAAAUGCCUUGGAGAUCGACAAGUCGAUCGCGUUCGACCGUCCCUGAACUUGCUUCCCGACUCUCAGCGUACAUCGUUACAGAGGGGAAGUGAUAAGAAGAAAGUUAGUUAAGACAGAGCCGGUAAACAGUGAGACUGACUACCACAGAAGGCAGCACUGGACUUCCAUGCAGGCGAAAGGAAACACCACACACAGUUUCAGCCUCUCAUUUCUCCCUUGAAAACAUAGCUCAACACACAUGGAUACUCACAGAUGUUGUUGGUGUACCAGCCACAUUAAAACUAACUACCACCAAGUUUACCAUUGCAGUCGUCUGUUUCCCUUCACACUAAUACCCAUACACUGUUCAUGUGAUGUCACCAUUACUCUCACUC
rnacentral:lncRNA from 1 species